UGUUUUGUCAUUUAAUUUGAA
ensembl:piRNA 21ur-12155 ncRNA